AAGUCGUAACAAGGUUUCCGUAGGUGAACCUGCGGAAGGAUCAUUAUUGAAAUCAUCGCCUAAAGGUUGUGCUGGUUCAGAAGUAAACUCUCUGUUCAUGUGCACGCCGGGGGUCCUGAUAUCUUUCCACCUGUGCACUUUAGUAGGCAGUUGUAUGUCUUGGUUGUUGUCUUUGUAUCACACCUCGUGUGUGGAUGUGGGAAUGGGUUUGCAAAAAAGCCCCUUUCCCCUGGGACCUAGCGGAGCCGUCGCUGUUCUACGUUUUUUACACACCCAAUGUAUGUCUAGAAGUUCAUUUAUCGGUCGGAAGGCCUUUAAUCUUAACACAA
rnacentral:misc_RNA from 1 species